GAUGAACGCUGGCGGCGUGCCUAAUACAUGCAAGUCGAGCGAACGGACGAUAAGCUUGCUUCUCUGAUGUUAGCGGCGGACGGGUGAGUAACACGUGUAUAACCUACCUAUAAGACUGGGAUAACUUCGGGAAACCGGAGCUAAUACCGUAUAAUAUUUUGAACCGCAUGGUUCAAAAGUGAAAGACGGUCUUGCUGUCACUUAUAGAUGGAUCCGCGCUGCAUUAGCUAGUUGUUAAGGUAACGGCUUACCAAGGCAACGAUGCAUAGCCGACCUGAGAGGGUGAUCGGCCACACUGGAACUGAGACACGGUCCAGACUCCUACGGGAGGCAGCAGUAGGGAAUCUUCCGCAAUGGGCGAAAGCAUGACGGAGCAACGCCGCGUGAGUGAUGAAGGUCUUCGGAUCGUAAAACUCUGUUAUUAGGGAAGAACAUAUGUGUAAGUAAAUGUGCACAUCUUGACGGUAACUAAUCAGAAAGCAACGGCUAACUACGUG
rnacentral:rRNA from 1 species